GUAGGUGGCAAGCGUUGUCCGGAUUUACUGGGCGUAAAGAGCGCGCAGGCGGUCGGAUCAGUCGAAUGUGAAAGCCCCCGGCUCAACUGGGGAGGGUCAUUCGAUACUGUCCGACUCGAAGGCAGGAGAGGGAAGCGGAAUUCCCGGUGUAGUGGUGAAAUGCGUAGAUAUCGGGAGGAACACCAGUGGCGAAGGCGGCUUUCUGGCCUGUUCUUGACGCUGAGGCGCGAAAGCUAGGGGAGCGAACGGGAUUAGAUACCCCGGUAGUCCUAGCCGUAAACGAUGGACACUAGGUGUUGGUGGUAUCAACCCCACCAGUGCCGUAGCUAACGCAUUAAGUGUCCCGCCUGGGGAGUACGGCCGCAAGGCUAAA
rnacentral:rRNA from 1 species